CAAAUGGCUCCUUAAGCCAGUUGAGGGUAGAUGAAAACAUUACAUGAUCAAAAGUUGAUUAGUCAGGUCGUUCAGUGACAGAUGCAGGCGGUUUUAUAUUUGAUUGGUUAACCAAUAAAUGUUACAACUACCCAAAAAUGUAUAAACUGUUUGUUUACUUUUAUUUAAAUACCUAAAGAUACAGAGUAUAGUGCCUACACGAAUUCUAGGGAUUCGUUGCCAAGCGGACCCCAGGUCGCGGAGACGUCGCGGGCAGAAGCUAUGUAGGCAAGCACGAUAAUAGAAUUAUAUAAUAAAUAUAGCACUAUUGUACUCGUUCAAGGUAAACGAACCUAGGUUCGAGCAAAGAGAAUUAUUUGACAUAAUAUUCAUAUUUAAGUACUUGACUUUGACAGAAAAGUCAUUGUGUUUUUUAGUGAUUGCUCUCACUUUCAUAACUUUUACAUUUUAUUGGAUUUCAUAAUGGAAUAACUGAAAGUAUGAGUAAACCACCUUAAAAGUAGCAGACCUUAACUGAGAUCAUCAGCCACAUGAAUCCAAAAUGGAACUGAACCCAUGACCCUAACAUCCUCGGCCUAAAAGA